AGCUCUGUGUUUUAGUUUCCUAGUGCUUGUGUAAUAAAUUACCACAAAUUUAAUGACUUAAAGCAACACAAAUUUAUUAUCUUACUAUUCUGGAUGUAAGAAGCCGAGAAUCAGUUUUAUGGGGCUAAAAUCAAGGUGUCAGCAGAAAUAGUUCCUUAUGGAGGCUCCAAGAAAGAAAUUGUUCUUUGCCUCUUUUAGCUUCUAGAGCCUGCCUUGGCAUUCCUUGACUAGUAGCCACAUCACCCCAGUCUCUGCUUCUUUCUCGUGUAUUUUUGAACCUUCUAUUUGUUCCACAAGACUCAGCUCAUAAAACCCCUCCUCCAGGAAGCCUUCCUAUGUUACUCUGGACUUGUUUGGUGCUCUUUGCUCAUGCUCCUGUGGCACUCUGUGUGAAAGUGACUUCACGACUCUACCUUUCCUGUUGUAAUUGUGUAGAUUUACCUGUGGCCCACUGCCCCAGUAUUCUCCUUCCUCCUCCAGAUAGUGUACUCUUUAUAAGAAGGGACUGCUUCUGUGGGAUACAUAGAAGAUAUUUGAUGAAAGUUUCUGAGGGAAUGAAUGGAUUGUCUUCUCUCAUGAAAUGGUUAACAGUUAUAUAUAUUUAACUUAAUUUAUGUGUGUUUAACUUAAUUUCUCUUGAGGUAUUUACUAGAAGCUGAAAGUGGAGUGCGACUGGCUAGGUUCAGGAAGGACUGGAAUCUGGUGGCUUGCCGAAAUUUCACUUUGUUAGGACACCAGACUGAGUUGUCAGUCAGUGGAUCUUAUGGAUGGUUCUUUUCAAGUGAAAAUAACCCUGAAGCUGUGGAUCAUUCAUUCCUCAGUGUUAUCAUAAACCUAAGGAGCCCUGGUGGUGCAAUGAUUACACGCUUGGCUGCUAACUGAAAGGUUGGUGGUUCUUAACCACCCAGCGGGUCUGUGGGAGAAAGACCUGGCGAUCUGCUUCUGUAAAGAGUACAGCCUAGAAAACCCAGUGGAGCAGUUCUACUCUGUCACAAAGGGUCGCUAUGAGUCGGAAUCCACUUGACAGCACUUAACAACGACAACCAUAAUAGCACCGUAAACAAGUUGGGUUCUGAAUAUUUGAAGAUAUGAUGGAGGUCACAGAGAAUGACUGAGUGCAUCUUUAAAUUCUAAAAUUAGUUUCAGUCACCAAAGAAGAGAUUCUGUGGCCUAAUAACUUUUAGGUUUAGCUGUAAUGGAGGCAAGUCUCUGGUGAUUGACGUAUUUUAUUUUAUUUUGUAUUUUCAAAAUAGAAUUUUACUAUGUGAAAAACUCUCUGAGCCUUAAUGUGUUAGUUGUUGGAAGACCAUUCUGCCUUCUUUUACAGCAUCCAGGGUGAUUUUUUUUUCCCCUUUUGGAAAUAGGCUUUGGGUUUUCUGUAUUGUUGGAAAGCAUGUAAUUUUCUUUUUUUCACCUAGUGGUGCUUAAUGAUACCAUGUGAAUUUUUAUAGUCCCAGCUUCACCGAAUUGUGUGUCCUGAAACUUUAGUUGGAUUAAGAACGUACCUUGGUGUGAGGGCUGAAAUUGGGGGAAUGGGAGAACACAGGGUUGCAUCCAUAUAUGUUGCAAUUAAUAUUAAUGAGUGGGCAAAAGUCCAGCAUUAUCCUGGGGGGUUGGCUAAUAAUGUUCAUUGUAAACCAGUGCAAGUGAGUCCUUCCCCUCCAGGUGUGAAUAGUUUAAUUUAGUAGGUCAAUUUGGAAAAGCAAAGGGUGUUUUCUUGUAUUCCAGCUUACAUUACACACUGAACAUUAACCAGCUGCUUUAGGUACAGCCCAUUGUCGAGCAGUGGUGGUAACAGGUAUCCUGGAACGUUGCUAACCCAUUUUGGUAUCUCCGGGGCCUAGCGUGGUGCCUGGUACAUAGUAGGUAUUCAAUAGCUUUUGUGAAAUGAAAAGAAUAAAUGAAGUCCCUCUUAAAAUUCCUGCCCCCUGCUCCUCUCUCUAGCCUUCUCAUCACCUCCCACCUUGUAGCCACAGUAUUCUAUUUGUAGCUUUUUAAAUAUUCUACCUUCUUUGUCCCUGAACCUUUCUGUAUUUGCCAUUCCCUCUGCCUCUCUCAACACCCUCCCUAACCCCUUUGUCUAAUUCCUGCUGAUUCUUUAUGACUUAGUUCCUUCCAGAAGACUUUUCAAGGGGCAUCAUUGUCAGUACCUGGUCGAAGGCCUAAUUUGUCUUGUUUUUCAUGUCUCCGUGUACCUUUGGGUAACAACAGAAAGCUACUGAGUAGAAGAACUGUUGAAAUCUUUUACAUGAGCCUUCUUUUCGGGAGAAUGUGGAUAAUUGUCUGAUGCUCUCAUUGUUUAGAAAUGCAUUUCCCUAACUGUACUUUCUUGGUACUUCCUGCUUAGAAAUGGGCAAAAAAUGACUCUAUUGUAACUGGGGAAACUUGGAGGAAGAACAGCCAGAAUGCUCCCGAGAAGCAAGAAUGGUGAGACUUUGUCUUACUUUGGACGCAUCAUUGAGGGUACCAAUCGCUAGAGGAGGACACCAUGUUUGGUAAAGUAGAGGGUCAGUGAAAAAGGAGACCCUCAGGGAGAUGGAUUGACACAGUGGCUGCAACAACUGGCUCAAACAUGGCAGUGAUUGUGAGGAUGGCGCAGGACCCAAUAAUCUUUUGUUCUGUUAUACAUAAGGUUGCUGUGAGUUGGAGCCUACUCGGUGGCACUAGCAACAAUAGUAACUGGAACAGAAAUAGUUAAGUCAGCAAUAGGUUCUCAUUCCAUUUACAGAGCAUCCAUAUCUAGGUGACAUGGGGCAAUGAAGGACCACUGGAGAAUUAACCUUUAGUACGGCUGAUACCAAAGGGUCUAAAUAGGCAAAGAGAAGUUGGGAAAAAAGUAUGUCUUUUUCUAAUUCAAUUUAGAGAAACCUAGGAAAGUUUGGUACGCUGUAGGUGCUUCAGCCAACAUUUGCUGAGGAUGAAAGAAUAAAUGAGUAGUUUUCUCCUUUUUUUUGUUUGUUUUUGUUCUAAAUAAGGUUUUAAAAAACGCUUAGUCUCUUCCACUCCUCUUUGCCCACAUAGCCAUGGCCUCAGUCUGUGCUAAGUAUUUCUGCUAAGACUGACUCAUCUUGCUUCUGAUUAGUGAUACGAGACUCUGGUAUCCAUGGGAAUGGUGCAAGAGUGUAUUGCUUUCAUGCUUGGAAAAAUGUAAGCCAGAAGGGCCAGCUAUUGGUACCAGUCCAAUUAAUUCCUCAGAGCUGUAGGGUAACCCCGGAGCCCUGGUGGCACAGUGGUUAAAAGCUUGGCUGCUAAUGAAGAGGCCAGCAUUUCAAAUCCACUCCUUGGAAACCAUGUGGAGCAGUUCUACUCUGUCCAGUGGGAUUGCUGUGAGUCCGAAUCAACUCAGUGGCAAUGAGUUUGGUUUGGAUAGGGUAAUCUCACCCUCAGAUUCUCAGGACCAGUGAGGAAGACAGUAUAAUCCAGUGCAAAAUUAAUUAGCCUUUGUGUCAGGUAGAUGUGCAUUCACGUCUUGUCUCUUAUGCUGACUGGUUGUGUGACUUUGGGCAAGUUGCCUAACCUCUUUGAGUUUUGUCUCAGUUUUUUCAUUUGUAAAAUGGAGGGUGGGACAAUAAUAAUUCAUAGGGGUGUUUCACAGUUAUGAAUGGUUUUGUAAGUGUCCUAGUCUGCUUUAGAUGUUCAGUGAAUGAUAAUUAUUAUUAUGGUUAUUAUUACUACAGAUUGGCUAUAGACCCUUCAGAAUUUCCGUGAGGACAAGGUUAGAUCUAAUAGUCUCUUUAUGUCUGGAAAGGAGGUUUUCUCUUCUGGGGAAAAUUCAGAUCAGUUUAAGAAGGGGACUGGACAUCUCUUCCCUAUGUUCUUGAUGUUUCAGAGGUGGCCAAAAUUGACACUAAGGAAGAACUUAAAAAAAAUCUGAGUACACAUGUCAGGAGGCGAGUAGUAUAGAGGAGUAGACAGUGGCCCAUGAGUUUUGUUUCCAGGGGUUAAGACUCCGCUCUGCUUGGUUUUGUCUCCAUUCUCUGCCAAACCCCUUUCUACCACUGUGCCUUAUGUCGCUCCCCUGUGAGCCGAGGACAUUGGAUCAGACAGCUAACCUGGCCCCAUAUUUUGUUUCCGUCCCAGGCAGUGUUUCCUCUGGACUGGAAGUUAGUAUGGGUGUCCCCAGCAAGGCUGGUUUUAUUGUUCCAAAAAAUGUUAGGAGAGACAUGUCCCUUGUGAGUUGACCCAGCAGGGCAUCCUUUCGUGGUACAACAUAUUUGGCCAAAAAGCUGUCCAGCUCAGAAAUUCUGUCGGUGGAAAUUCUUGGAAUAAAGGCAAGCCAAGAUGAAUUUUCAGAGCAAAUUUUGAAAUUCUUGUCUGGCUUGUCUAUAGCAACUGCUUCUAACACUGGACUUCUUCAGAGGUAUUGAUAAUGCCUGUCUUUGAAUGGGGGAAUGAAUUUCCCAGCUUCCUGAGAAUACCAACAAAAAAAUUCCCCCAACAAACCCCAGGGUGUCUGAAGCGACUGCUGUCUUAAAGAGCAGAUCGAAUACUCUUCUGUGGGCUCAAGAGCUAUCAGCAGUAUUGAACAAUUAGACUAGAAGGAAGGGUUGUGAACAGUUGUUCCCUCAAGGCUUGGGAAUUAACAAAGGCCAUAUUAGUAAGAAUGGAGAGGGAGGGGGAUGAAGAGGAUGGGGGCUGGGGAGGAACAAUUCAGAAGUGGAGAGGGUGAUUGGAGGGCCUUGUUUCCCAGAUAGUUUUCAAAGAAAAGAGAUUUGUGUAGUUUGCUGUGUGGCUGAGAACACAGUAGCAAGACCAGUUGAUGUUCUUUUUUAUCCAACAAUUACUUUCUCUGGCACAUUCCUUUUACGCUAACAAAGUGUCUUCCUUUCCUCUCUUGUGGUCAUUGAUAACAAGAGCUUAAGGGCUUUUUGCUUCCCAGGACUCCCGGUGGGGGUGGGGAGAAGGCCACACAUAAGAGGGAAUUGACAUUUUGCAGAUUUUCUUGAAUUUUGUCUCAGACAAGGGAAACCCAUCCCAUGUUAGCAAAGGCUCAGGUUUUCAUUUUAGUCUGGGGGUGAUUGAUUUCUUUCUUUCAAGUGGCUGGUGGAGGAGGUCAGAGUCUUAGAAAGGGAAGAAGCCGGGGAAAAGGAGAAAAGAAAGAAUGAGAUUUAUGACCUUCUGGAUCCCAGCUUUUAUGUCGCUUAACCAUUCUCGAUACUGGAAGUUCAUGACACCCUGAGAAACAGCCCUGGAACUCAGAGCAGUGAUCUGUAUGCAAAGGCGAAAUUAAACAGUCCAGCAACUGCUUUGACUGAGUGGCGCACACAGCAGUAUUCUGGGUCCUGUGUGCUGCUUCCCUUUAGAUUCUCUUCUCAGCACAGAUUCCAGCAUUUCAUGGAGUGAUGAGACAGACCACCCAGGGCAACUUAUGUUAUACUGAGGGUGGUUGAUGACGGUGCUUAUAGAGGAGUUAUUUCAACAAUAGGACUUUUCCAUUACUCUUUCUGCAAUCAGCCCUCCACACUCAGAAUGUGGAAACCUUUGCAUCUGUCGCUGAAGAAUACUAAAAUAAUAGAAGUUGCUCAGAGAGCCCCACCCUGCUCCUGUAACCCUGAGAUAGUAAUUGAAGAUCUUUAAAAAUGUAUGUAUCUUCCAUUUUUAUUCCAUAUGGGCCCCUUAGGUAACAUGACCCGAUGUGGCCAUUAAAUGACCCCGCUUACACUUGGAUUACUCAGUACAAAGCAAAUUUAUGGUUGUUUAUUCUCUCCUCCUAUCAGCUAUUAGUGCCUAAUCAUAUGGUCUAUCGAUCAUGAGAUUAAUCGCCUGCCCAAAGAGGCAGCAGGUCUUGUGGAAUGCUGCACUGCGCCAGACUGAACUUCAACCUUUUAUACAAACUGGAGGAGUCAAAAUCAUCAUUCACUGCCCAAAGCCUCUGGUCCCUGGGCCUCCUGAACCCCAGGAGGUAAAUCCCCUGCUUUUUUCAAACAGUGUACUUUGCACUUCCUUUCCUUGUGUAAAACUUUGCCUCAUUGAUUCAGGCCGGUACUUGUAAAUAAAAUCCUUUCUAAGAAGCAUCCUAUAAAUAAUGAUCUAAGCUGAAAAUAUGUGGGCUUUAUUAUACAAAGCCCCAUAGUGCUGCCAUAAUUAAAAGUCUGUCAGUAUUUCUAUUAUAAAUUCUCAUUUUGGAAGAUUUAUAACUGGGCCAUUAGAAUUUUCUUGGACUAAGGCUUUCUAAGAGUGUCAUGAUUAAAAAAAAAAAAUUGGAGGCCAUUUUUCCCCCCUUUUUGUGUGAUGUGUUUCCUUAAAGAUAGAAAAAGUGAAGUGCAGACACAGUAUCACGCAGUAGCUUAUACAUACAAAGAUUGGACACUAAAAUUUGAGCAUUCCAUCCCUAAAGUGGCUUCUGUUGGCCUCCUGUGUUCUCACUGUAGUUUGAGAACAGAGAAUUGUAGUGUUAAUACCAGGGCUUUGAACCAGUUCUGCCUGGUUUAGUCAUGGCCAAGGAAGUGAAACCCAAACGGACCCAAAUUUUUAAAAUGUGGGUCAAGUGGAAUGAAUAAGCGGAAUGGGAAAAAUGAUGGGUCGAAGCCCUGCCAGAAGCUUAAUGUUCUUCUUAGAAAACAAGGGCAGCAUGUGUGUUGCAUAGCAACCAAAUCUCUUGACUUCCAGAGUUGGAAACAGCGGUGCCCCACUCAAAGAUGGCAGCUGAAGGUGCCGCUUUGAAUGUGUGUCGCUGUCCACCAUCCUGGCAAUAACCCAGUCUCCCACAUCAGGCUCAUGAAGGGGCUGACUCUGCAUCUUCCAAGUCUCCCGUUCCAGGGCUUCUACCCAUAAUUUUUCCUAUUCCACUUAUUGUUCUGCUUCGCCCAAAUUUUAAAAAUUGGGUCUGUUCUGAUUUUACUUCAUCGGCCAUGACUGAAUCUGUUUGAACUGGUUAGGAGCCCUGGUUAAUACUGUAUUGUAAUGUUUGUUUCCUUGUCUGUAUUUCGUACUCUGAGUGAGGGCAGGGGUCUUAAAUCAUUUUUCUUUCUAGCCCUUUUUUACCAGAGGGCCUGGCUGGUAUAAGUACUGGAUUUGUUCAGUAAACCAGCUCAAGAAUGAGAAUCAGGAAACUUUCUUUCCAAUCCUGACACAGUCACUUAAGGCAGUGUGUGAAUUCAGGCAGUGAAUUUAGGCAAGUGCUUUUACAUCUCUAAAACCAAGUUUCCUAAUCAAUGAAAUGAGUGUGUUGAAUUCAGGACUGGUAAAUCAGUGUUCUUUAGGUUGAAAGCUGCCAUCACAAUGUUUUAAAACAUUUGAAUUUGAAUGCCUUUAGAUAGGAGCUAUACUUUCUAGUUUAUCAUAGUCCCCCAUUCCCUAUACUCCUCUUAUGUUACACCAUCCUGCUUCAAUUAUUUGCCUGCAAUCUCUGUAGGUAUUUAUGAUUUCCAUGUAGUUGUUUCCCGAUAAUAUGAUCUUUGGUUUUGUUGUUAUAGGAAAGAUACAAGAUUCAGGUUAGCUGGUGAUGCCUUUUUUGACUUUAAUUCUCUAACUUCCAACCCUUUUAUUAUCAAGAGCCUCAGUUAUUUUUUAUUCCAUGCUUUGAAAACUUUUGUCUUCCAGACAAGCUGCAUUUGUUAAUAAUUAGUUUUACCAUUUUUUAAAAAAGCAAACAGACAUCUGUAACUUAGCAUGCAAUAGAAAUGAGCCAUCAGCGUAAGAGUCUGAAAUACUCCUUGUGCGAAGAGUUGGUGGAUGUUUUAGCUUGUGCAGUCGAUUCAUGGUUAACUGUAUCGUUUCUAUUUGAGGUUUUGAUAUACUAAAAAUAGCUCAUAGAUCUUCCUGCCUUUUCAGACAUGUGAUGGUCCAAGGACUCUAGUGUGCUUAGUUUAUUCUUUUUUGAGUUGCUGGGCUACCCUUGUCCUCAUAGCUUCAAGUAAGUUGUUUGUCUGUACAUGGGGUUCCAUGUCUUUUUAAUUGUCUCCUUACUGAUCAGCUUAGGAAGGUCUAUAAAACCUGACUUUUACAUACAGCUGGAGAAGAAAGAGCUUCUUAAGAGGAGUUUACCCAAAGGCCCUCGUUAGAUUUUCUCCCUUUAGGUCAAGAGCAUUUUGAAAGGUUUGUUACAGGGAGUAGGAGACAAUUUGAUACUCGACUCCUGAGGUUAGGAGAAUCCUUUCUUUUAUCUCAACUCAGGUUGUUGGUAAAUAUUGAAAAUUGAGAAAUUAAAAGCAUACAUUUAAAUACAACAAAUUAAAAAUCCAUAGUAUAGAAAUAAUCUGUAUAUAAACCAAUCUCAAUUUGAGACCUGACCUUUAGUGCUUAAAGUAGUCAGCAUCACACGAAGGUAGUAACCCGUUUUCAUCAGCUUGCCACAUGGGUACAGUUCACCAAGAAGUGGCAGUGUCUACAUUGUAGCUAAGAGCAUAGGCUCUGGGGCCUAACUAACUGGGGUUUAAAUUCUCUCUUGGUUCCUUAUCAACUCUGUCACCUUGGAGAGGUUACUGAAUCUCCAUAAGCCUCGGUUUUUCCUCAUUUGUAAAAUGGGGAGAAUAAUAGCUUGUUGUGAGAAGUAAACAAGAGUAAUUCACAUAAAAGGUUUAUCAUCAUGUUGGUUAAAAAAUAAAAAAUGAAUAUGAAUUGUCAUUAUUAGCUAGAAUAUAAUUGAAAUAUAUUUCUGAAUUUAUUCUUUUAAAGAAGAGUUUAAAGGUAUACUUUCUUAAGUGUGUUCAUACAUGCUGGGCCAUCUACCUAAAUUUCCAGGAAAUUGUUUCAGCAGUCCAAACGAGCCACUCUCGGUUUUUCAGGAACAAAUUAGAUUUGACAUUAAACAUCCGAAGUUGAAAUCUUCUCGCUUACACUGUGUUCUUUUCUCUCCAGAUCAAUCCAAAUUAAAGUUUCAUUGCAAAAGUUUCAUGGGCCCUUAUUAAUGUUAAUUAUUAUUGGUGUGCUGGUAAAAGUCCUAAAGUGAGUUCAUUAAGAAUUAACACCCCUGAGAAAACUUUAAACACUCUUGGACUCCUAGAGCUGGGAGGGCCCUCAGAGAUCAUCUCCUCUUUAGCCCCAUCUUACAGAUCAGGAAAGUGUAUUUUACAAUGCAAAAUAAGUUUCCAACAGGGGCCAUCCUGUAUAAUGGGGUUUUAAUUUUUUACUUUCCCUGGAAUCUGUACUAAUUUAGUAUGUUAUGAUUAUGUUCUUAUUGUGGGACUUGUGUAUAUUUAUUAGAAACCAUUGGGUUGCAGCACUGGGCAUUACUUUUGUGGCAAAGGCACGGGGGCAGUAAUCAUUAUUAAUGGAUUCCAUGAUUUGGUAGAGCAUUUUACUGACUACAGAGAAUUCACUGCAUUGAUCUAUUGUGCCACAUUUAUAUUAUAUCAGGUAGUUUAAAAUGAUAUUCUCUAAACUGCUAGGCUGAAAAAUUGUCCAAUCUUGGCAGUUAUCCCAUCAGUAAGACCUUCCUUUUAGUUCUGAAAAUACAUAGGUCUGGUGAAGGAAACCUUUUGACUGGUCCCCGGUGCCCUGAAUGUGUUUAAAUCCCUAACUACUGAAACAGGAGGAUUACUACUGCUAUCAUUGUUCUAAAACAAACUUCUCUUUGGACGAUAACUGCAGCGGUAAAUCAGAUGUUGAAGAAAGUACCAGCUUAACUUCAGUUGGCUUUAAAAGGGUUUCCUCUUUAAUUGACAAGUGUCAUGUAUAAUAGAGCAUGGUAAGUCACAUAGAAAACCUUGUGCGGGACUUCCCACUGGGGCUGGAGCUCUUAAUGAACGUGCAAGUGAAUACACAGAGGCAAAAAAUUAAAGCACCCCAACUGUGGACUAUUCAUGCUGCUCACUCUGGCCGAUGUGGUGAUCCGCACCAGCCACACGGAUGGCCAGAGAGACCCGUAUUGGUUGUGUGGCUGUGUGUUCUGGUGGCUGUGGUCUCUCUGGUGACAUUUUGAAUAACAGCGUGGAUUCUGGUGUCAAAUCCAAGGAAUAAACAGACAGACGUUUGUUUUUAUUUUUGCUUUGAAACAUAAAGAUUAUAAGCUAUUUUUGGCACAUGCCACCUCUUCACAAAGCGAUGUGUUUCUCGUGCUCUGGACCAGUUGCUAACGUUCAUCCGCUUCCUCACUCUGUAGCUCCCUCUCUCCUUCCCUCCACUCCCCAGAAGAGAACCAAACCGAUAUUUUAAAGGUGGUGUUUACAACAGUUCUACACACUUGAGUAAGCACUUAGAAUAAUGUCAAUAGAGGAAGGGAAAAAAGGGCGCAUUAUUAUCAAAUUAAGUAAUGGAUGGGCAGUGAUAUUUUAUUUAUUAAAGCUAGUCUGAGUACCCCUGGAAGCAGAGUAUGUUGGUUCUGAAGUGCACAGAUUAGAAAGGAAUGUUGAGUUUGGAAACGUGGCAGCCUGCAGCACUGUGUAUGGUUUAAAUUAAACCUUUUUUUGGAAAGCAGAAUAGCUCUAGGCCACAUUUAAGGGAAAAGCUACAGCAGAGUGAGCUGGCUGUGGUUUUUCUUUUACUCUGUAACCGGCCCACUUUCCCUUGUUUUAACACAGAAAAAAGACUUUGGACUCCUUCAGACCAACCACAUAGCUUCUCUGCUGACCACAAAAAGGAAGCUUGGCGUAAAAGCCAUGGGAUUAAUACCCACUGUCUCUUAACCCAACAGAGUGUGAAAACUUUUCUGAGAGAUUUCUCUGGGCAGGCUGACACUGUGGUUGGACUCUAAACAUUUUAAAUCAAGCAAAACUUUGAAUAGCAUUAUGCCACAGUGCUCUGUAAACUGUAAUGUGUGCACCCACUGUUAAAAGUUAUUUACCCGAGUCCCCAGGUUUCAGAGGGAUAAACCACUAACAGCUUUGUGUAUCUUGAUAAAGAAAUACAAGGAGAAUUAAAGGUAUGCCCAUGCCAGGUUAUCUCAGAUAGAGCAGGUAGAUCGUAGUCAAUCAUAUUUUAUUGGUCUUAAGCCAGUGGAGACAAUUGGCUCUUGGCAGAAAAGACAUUUCAUCUUUGAAAAUAAUAAGAUUAAGAAUGUAGAUUCUAUUAAUCACUUGAUCAGCUUUAUUAAUUCAUCACACAUUAUUAAACUAGAAAAAACCUUUUCCUUUGAAUAGAUGUACAGCUUUCUUGAAUAAUAGUAUUUGUGUUGCAGAGGGCUUUAUUUAAUAUGCUAACCGUUCUACCCAGGUAUCAUAAAUAGUUGUUUCUGUGUCCUGAGCAUUAAUUUUAAUGAUUGGAAUCUCACUAACCUAUUAACUAAUCAUAUGUUGGCACAAAGCAACUCUGAAAUUACCAAAAGCAAAACAAAACCAAAACCAAAACCAAACCAAACAAAAAACCUUGUAUGUUUAUAUUUACUCAUUCGAACUCCUAGGAUUAACAUAUUUUACAGUAAAUCCUUUGAAUUUACAUUUUACUAUGCUAAAUGAAGCAGCUUUUCCUAGGUGUAUUGUGUAAGCGUUCUUGUUUCUAUUCAACAAAGAAUCUUGAUCGAAGGAAUUGAUUUGAAAAGUUGAAGGAAAAAACCCGCUCACGUGUUUCAAAACUGUGGUCUUAAAGUAACCACAGAGUUAAUUCAUGGUUGACUGUUAUGUCAUGAGAGGAGUUUAUUUGCCAUCAUUAGAAAAAUUGGUCUGUAUGACACUUCCUGCUUGUGAAGAAAUGCAGUUGUCAUCUUGCCUAGACUAUUAAAAUAGUAUUUAAAUACUUCCAGUUGUGAGGAGCCUUGCAUUUAUUGUGGUUAUUUUCCCAGGUGUCUUAGGAGCAGCUGUUUUGUGCUUUCCUGAACUUAAUAGUUGAAGAAUGUGGGAAAGAAAUGGUGUGCUUUCUGGAGGAUUCAUUUCAUAGGGGUCUAUACAUCAGUCAAGAAAAUGGCUACAACGGAAUUACCAAGACUGGUAAUAAAGGUAAUUUAAUCUGGUUUAAUAUUUUUUUUUUAAGGGCAAAACACUGUAAGUGUCCUUUACUUGGUGAGAGUUAACUUCUUAAUUUCGCCAAGUUGGAAAACAAAUGAAAAUUUGGCAAUGACCAGCAGUUACAGAGAAUGAGUACAGUUUAGGAAAAAAAGCAUUCCUCUUGGAAUUAGAUGACCUGGUUUCUAGGCCCGUCUAUAUCAAUGUUUUUCAAAUUUUAAUGCGCAUAUGAAUCGACUGGGGAUCUUGUAUAAACAGCAGAUUCUGAUGCAGUAGGCCUGGGGUGGUGCCUGAGAGUUUGUAUUUCUAACGAGCUCCCGGGGCCCCUGAGUGGUGCAAAUGGUUAACACACUAGGCUGCUAAUCCAAAGGUUGGAGUUUCGACUCCACCCAGAGGCUCUUCAGAAGAAAGCCUUGGUCAUCUACUUCCAAAAAAGGAGCCAUUGAAAACCCUGUAGAGUACAGUUCUGCUCUGACACACAUGGGAUUGCCGUAAGUUGAAAUAGACUUCAUGGCAACUAGCAUGUAACAAGCUCCCGGGGGCUGUCCAUGCUGCAGGUCUGUUAUACCACUUAACUAAUUUUGUGGUACUGGAGUUUCCUAAUCUUAAAAUAGAGAUGUUAAUCGUUGCUCUGCGUACCUCAUCAGGUUGUUAGGAGGUGAAAAUGAGGUAAAGUAGAUGAAAUUUUAAAGUGCUUCAUAAGGACAAGACACCUUUGUCUCUAGAUAUAGACAUUGUUUGGAUCCUUUUCGCCCCAUCAGCGUGAGCUGUUCUGUGGUGGGCAGUGCCCUGAACUGAGACAGGAGAGGACUGAAAUCCCUGCUUCCCUAGAACCAUUCUGUGCCUUUGCCGAUGAUUCUACCCGUCUGGUCCCCACUGUUUAAUAGUUUCAGUCUAGGCUCGACCUAGAGCAGUGGUUCUCAAAGUGCAGUCCCAGGACCAGGACCGUAGCACUUAACCACUACACCACCAGGGUAAAUGAACAGUGCCUGCAAAUUCAUACAGUCCUGAACAUCUGCAGUUAUGAAGGACCUAAUAGAUCAUUUUAUCCAGUGAUUUCAAAUUUUCUUUAAAUAGGGAUCUUUUCUUCAGAACCAAACUCAUGGGAAAGCCAAAUAUAUAUAUUUUUUAAGUUGCAAAAGAAUAAGGUGCUGGAUCCCUGUUAGCUUUGGCCCCCUAAUUCUUUCUCACUGAAACAUCCCUAGUUGGUAUCCAUGCCUUGGGCAAGAAACCACCUGGGAAACUUGUUAGAUGCAGAUUCUGAUUCUGUAGGUCUGGUGUGGGGCCUGAGACAGUGCAUUUCUGAUAAACUCCUGAGACCUGACCACACUUCGAGUAGUAAGGCUCUGGGGAAUCUAUGCAGCAUUGUUUGAAAACCUUUGCUGGUCAACCUCUUCAUUUUACCAAUGUGGAAAGACAGACUCAGAGUGAUUGACAUGACUUGGCCACAUGUCACAUGCCUAGUUAGGAUCUUAUGAUUCUUGAUAACCCUUCAUUCUCCUGUACCAUGCCUGGGCGGGACUGCUAGGUCCUUACCUUUUGGGUUGAGUGAGGUAUCCCAGUACCAGGGUUCCACUGACACUACCAGUGCCCUGCACAAAGGUAGUUUAUCUUGAUAGAUGACAUUUGGGGAUUCAUUCUCUUCCAGCUCACUAUCUGCCACAUGGGAAAACAGUACUUUGAAUCAGACCCUGUUUAGGGUGGAACAUUUUGAUUAGCCAGCAAGGGCCGUUAGGCCGGUACCUGUGGUGUCUGCUGCCACAGCAGAAUGGAUAAGCAGUUCUCCACCCCCUCAACGUAAUCCAUAAAACUCUUUCAACCUUUUUUUUUUUUUUUGCAUGAUGUCUAGUGUUUGCAAAUGGAAAAUGGCUGAGGAAAAACAGAGUGAAAGUUUGUAUAAAAUAUUUAUACCUUAAAGAUCUUUUAUCUUGUGUCAUUCAAGAGAUAGAGAAGUGAAAAAUGUAUUGGGAGUACAUUAUCAAGAGUACAUUAUAAAUUUAAAUCUCAGAUUGAAUAAUACCAGCUGCUAAUGUGUGGAGCUUUAGAAAUGAGUCACUUUUGAGUCUCGAGAAUUUACUGUACCAGGUCAGUUAUACUUAAGAAGGAAGUGCCUUUUGAAAAAAUCUUAUACCGGAAUAAGGACUCCUACUAAUGGGUAUUUAAAAUAAAGAUAUUUGACAUACUGUUCACAUUAGAAUGUAGUUAUAUAGGAAUGAGACACAGGAUCAGAGAAAUUCUACAGCAUGUUUCUCAAAAAAUAUCAGAUAUUUUCUGUCUCUUCUUUGUGGAACAGUAUAACCUAAGUUAAGAGUAUGUGUCUUGGAGUCAGAAAGACUUAGAUUCAAAUUCUCUGUCCACUGUUUGUUAGCUGUGUGCUAACAGUUCAGUUACUUUCUCCAAGCCUCACUUUGUUCAGUUUUAAAAUGAAGGUAAUAGUACCUACCUAAUAGAGUUACUGGAGUCCCUGGGGCAAAUGGUUAAUGUGCUUUGCAGCUAACUGAAGGGCUGGUGGUUUGAGUCCACCCAGAGGCACCUCAGAAGAAAGGCCUGACAAAACUAUAGCUGCCAAAAAAAAAAAAAAAAAAAUCAGCCAUUGAAAACCC